AAAAAAACAAACCCUAGAUUUUCGUGUCCAACUUGGACGGUCCAUCUUAUAUAAAUUUUUUUUAUAAUUCGUAUUUUCAUUAUUGUUAGAUGAUAAAACAUGAUUAAUAUUUUAUGCGUAACUGGUAUUUUUAAUUUUUUUUUAUAAUUUUUUCAAAUAAGACGGAAGGUCAAACGUUGGGCAAUGAAAUCAGGGUUUGUCUUUUU
rfam:Oryza sativa Japonica Group DNA, chromosome 4, cultivar: Nipponbare, complete sequence.